rnacentral:lncRNA from 1 species
UUUGCAAAGAAGCAGGGUUUCAAUUAAUUAGAAUACACAUGCAUGCCAUUGGAGUGAAAUCUUGGAUCAUGCAUGCUAAUAUGGUCCAUAAUUAAUUAAACAGCUUUAUUAGUCAAGCAGCAGCUAUACAUAGUAGUAGUAGCAAUAAGGACAGAGAGCAGGCAGGCAGAAAGAAAGAAAGAGCAGGGAAGAAGGUGCUCUGCUUAAGUCCUAAUAUGGGGAGGUAGCUCGAGCUCGAUCAGUCAGUUGUGAUGUGUACUCCGAUGACGAUGACGAAGAGGGCGA